CUUGUUUUUGAGAGCUCAGUUGUAGCACUGUAUCAACUCCUUCAUUAUAAAUCUCUUUCUUCAGAAGGUGAGUCGGAGCGAUCGAAGUUGUGAUCCUGAAGGACUUGACGCUCUGACAGAUGAACACCCAGACUCGUAUCACUGAAGUUUUUUCUGUGACAGUCCAACCAACAGUCCAGUCCUUCAGUUAUGACCUGCGCUCACGACAACGAGCGUAAUGAGCAGCACGAGUGCUCUGAAGAUGUGUGUUGCUCUCAGACUACAGACAGGCUUCCCUGCCUUAUUAGUGGAGGUUGUUGAAGCUGCAUGCAGCCGGAAAGGAGAACAGCUGCGGUGACCUUUAACUCCACCAGUGAGAUUACAUCUAAACCUCUACAUCCCGCCUCUCAGAAAGUCUCCAGCACCACUCGCAGCAGAUCAUACUGAUGCUCAUAAAUGGUGCUUCGUCAAGUUUGCUGCUGCUGUGAUAGUGAUACGUCUGACAAUCAAUCUUUUUGCUGUUUGCCGCCUUUUUAUUUUUCAGUUUAACACGAGGAUUUUAAAGUCUGCCCUCCUUCUGACAUCAUUUAUUUACCCUGUUUGUGUUUACAUGUUGGCAAGUUGGAGCUGAAUCAGCUGUUAGCAGUGUACUCUUGGAUGGAGAGAUUACUGUCACUGUUUUACUUUGACACUGAAGAAAACAUGAAGAUUCUCAGGCAG